rnacentral:misc_RNA from 1 species
GAUGAAGAACGUAGCGAAAUGCGAUAAGUAAUGUGAAUUGCAGAAUUCAGUGAAUCAUCGAAUCUUUGAACGCAUCUUGCGCUCCUUGGUAUUCUGAGGAGCAUGCCUGUUUGAGUGUCAUUAAAUUCUCAACUACACUGACUUUGAAUUGGUGUGGCUUGGAUUUGGGGGGAAAAUUGUUGUGGGCUUUUUGUAUAGUCUGCUCCCCUGAAAUUGAUUAGCGGUACCUUUGUGGAACUGUCUACAGGUGUGAUAAUUAUCUACAUCUUAGACAUCUGCUGGAAUGCUGCUUUCUAAACCUUACUUGUAUUGACAAUCUUGAUCUCAAAUCAGGUAGGACUACCCGCUGAACUUAAGCAUAUCAAUAAGCGGAGGA